rnacentral:lncRNA from 1 species
AAUAAAGUGAUAAUUACAAAGAAGUAGGCAGGGUGUAGGGAAAUCAGAAAGAAUAGUGCAGUGCCUUAGUACCCACAGCUCUGUUGUGAUCACCUCCAAGCUCAAAAAGAUGAGGACAGAGCAGUCGUGUAGAGAGGACUUUCUUUUUUUUUUUUUCUUUUCUUUUUUUUUUUUUUUUUUUUUGAGAUGGAGUCUUGCUCUGUCGCCCAGGCUGGAGUGCAGUGGCGCGAUCUCGGCUCACUGCAAGCUCUGCCUCCCGGGUUCACGCCAUUCUUCUGCCUCAGCCUCCUGAGCAGCUGUGACUACAAGCGCCCGCCACCGCGCCCGGCUAAUUUUUUUUGUAUUUUUAGUAGAGACGGGGUUUCACCGUGGUCUCGAUCUCCUGACCUCGUGAUCCACCCGCCUCGGCCUCCCAAACUGCUGGGAUUACAGGCGUGAGCCACCGCGCCC